GCCAGGCACAGUGGCGUGUGCCUGUAGUACCAGCUACCUGGGAGGCUGAGGCUGGAGGAUCGCUUGAGUCCAGGAUUCUGGGCUGUAGUGCCCUAUGCGAUCAGGUGUCUGCACUAAGUUCGGCAUCAAUAUGGUGACCUCCUGGGAGUGGGGGACCACCAGGUUGCCUAAGGAGGGGUAAACCGGCCCAGGUGGGAAAUGGAGCAGGUCAAGACUCCCGUGCUGGUCAGUAGUGCGAUCGCACCUGUGAAUAGCCACUGCACUCCAGCCUGGGCAACAUAGGGAGACCCCGUCUCU
rnacentral:SRP_RNA from 1 species